UCAGACGAUGCGUCAUGCAUAUCAAUAAGCGGAGGAAAAGAAACUAACAAGGAUUCCCUUAGUAACGGCGAGUGAAGCGGGAAGAGCUCAAAUUUGAAAUCUUCAAGGUUUUACCUUGACGAAUUGUAGUUUAAAGAAGUGUUUUCUGCUGAAGUUUUGGUAAAAGUUCUUUGGAAUAGGACAUCAUAGAGGGUGAGAAUCCCGUAUUUGACCAUUAUUUUCAGCUGUGUGAUACACUUUCAAAGAGUCAGGAUUGUUUGGGAAUGCAGUCCUAAAUUGGGUGGUAAAUCUCAUCUAAAGCUAAAUAUUGGCGAGAGACCGAUAGCGAACAAGUACCGUGAGGGAAAGAUGAAAAGAACUUUGAAAGGAGAGUUAAACAGUACGUGAAAUUGUCAAAAGGGAAGCGUUUGACACCAGUGUUGUUUUCUCGAAAAUCAAUUAAAAAGAGUUAGAUUUUGUUGUGUAUUGACCUUAACAGCUUGCAUUUCAAUUUUCUUGCUUUUUUUAAUGCACUUUUCGUUUAACAAGUCAACAUCAGUUUCUUUUGUUGUAAAAAGGUCAUUGGAAGGUGGCUUUCUUUCGGAGAAAGUGUUUAUAGCCUUUGACUCCUGCAAUCGAAGAGACUGAGGUCUGCAGCGUAGACUCCUUCGGGGUUAGAUACAUUUGUGCUAAGUUAUAGCUUUUUAUAGACAACUUGUUGACUAUGAUUAGUCUUGUAGCUUACUCGCUUAUGCUAUUUUACCUACGCUUAGGAUGUUGAGUCGUAGAGCACGCAG
rnacentral:rRNA from 1 species